rnacentral:sRNA from 2 species
CUGAGGUCACCGCCUAAGGGGCCGGCAGGCCCCGCCGGGGACCCACAUGUAGUACUCGGGGUGAAUCGCCGGAGUGCGGCGCCACAACGGCGACGCACACCGCGUAGGGCAUCUUCCUCGCCCGAACCCGUCAGCUAACUCGGUCGGCGGUCGGGAAGAAACAU